UCUGCAUUGUAUUUCUAAGAGUUGUUCUUGGAUGAUGAGGGCAUCUAGUUUGAAUAAAUCUAGUUUAUUCAAAGUACGGAAGUAUAUUGCUCAGCAUACAUGUUGUGUUAGAGAAAGAGUUUAUGCCAGACGUCAAGGGAUAACUGACGUUGUAGCUGUAUUGAUAAUGGAUAAUUAUAUUGAUCCAUCUAAGGUAUAUACUCCAAAAGAUGUAGCUGAUGAUAUGUUGAAAUUGCAUGGUGUUUCGUUGACAUACAUACAGACAUGGAGAGCUAAAGAAAAAUAAGUAAAGUUGGUGCGAGGAGAUCCAGCAGAAUCUUAUGCAAGAUUACCUGGUUAUUUUUACAUUUUGGAGCAAACAUAUCCAGGAUCUGUUUUGAAAAUAAAAAGGAAUGAAGAUGAUACAUUUUUAUAUGCAUUUGUUGCUUUAGAAGCAUGUAUUAGGGGCUGGGAAUAUUGUAGGCCAAUUGUUGUUGUUGAUGGUGCUGCAUUAAAAUGUUCAUAUGGUGGUACAAUGUUAACUGCAAGCACAUUGGAUCCGGGAGGUCAUAUACUUCCGUUGGCGCAUGCGAUAGUAGAUUCUGAAAAUGAUGCUUCAUGGACAUGGUUCUUUGAGCAAUUUAGAGAAGCAUAUGGAGUUAGACAAAAUAUGUGUUUUAUGUCAGACAGAAAUGAAAGCAUAUGGAAAGGGACAACAAAUGUAUAUCCUGAAUCAGAACAUUAUGCAUGCAUAUGACAUUUAUCAGUCAAUGUUUUGAAGAAUUUCAAUAGAAAUACUGAAGAUUUGAAGAUGUUGUUCUUUUCAUUGGCAAAAGCUUAUAAAAAACAACAGUUUGAGACAAUUAUGGGAAGAAUAGAUCAGAUAGAUACGCGAAUACGGCCAUACUUGUUUGAUAUUGGUUAUAGCAAAUGGUCAAGAGCUUACUUGAAUUGUAAGCGCACAUGGACGAUGACUUCAAACAUCGCGGAGUCAUUGAAUAAUGUUAACAGAUUAGCACGGAGGUUACCGGUGAUUUCACUUCUUGAGUUUAUGAGGGUGACAAUUCAGAGGUGGAUUCACAAGCAUAAUGAGGAGGCUGAUAAGACUACAUCUAAUCUGACAAAAAAAUAUGAUGUUUAUCUACAGAAAAGUGUUACGUUG